rnacentral:rRNA from 1 species
GACGAACGCUGGCGGCGUGCUUAACACAUGCAAGUCGAACGGAAAGGCCCUGCUUGCAGGGUACUCGAGUGGCGAACGGGUGAGUAACACGUGGGUGAUCCGCCCUGCACUUCGGGAUAAGCCUGGGAAACUGGGUCUAAUACCGGAUAGGAGCCAUUUUUAGUGUGAUGGUUGGAAAGUUUUUUCGGUGUAGGAUGAGCUCGCGGCCUAUCAGCUUGUUGGUGGGGUAAUGGCCUACCAAGGCGGCGACGGGUAGCCGGCCUGAGAGGGUGGACGGCCACAUUGGGACUGAGAUACGGCCCAGACUCCUACGGGAGGCAGCAGUGGGGAAUAUUGCACAAUGGGCGCAAGCCUGAUGCAGCGACGCCGCGUGGGGGAUGACGGCCUUCGGGUUGUAAACUCCUUUCGCUAGGGACGAAGCUUUUUGUGACGGUACCUAGAUAAGAAGCACCGGCUAACUACGUG